UUACGGAUACAAAGAAGAGACUUUUUUUUUAAGGGGUUGGGGAUGGGAGAGUGUAACAGAAGGAAAAAUGAGAGACGUUUUGAAAACCAGGUUGUCUGCAAUAUUAACCAAAAAUGUUGGUAGCAACACAGAGAAAUGGGGUGCUUUUAUUCUAGGGGACAAGCUGCAUGGUCUAACGUUUUUUCUCCCCAUUUUAAACAAAUGACCUCUUGUCAUGAAUCCUCCUGUGUGCAGCAAUCCCAUAAACGGCCCCACCGCUGCACAGUGUGGAGGGGGGUGAUUCUAUUGCUGAAAGAGAGACAAAGCUCCCCUAGUGUGUUUAAGGCGCUGUUCGGAGCACUGGCGUUCUUGUUUGCUCUCAUUUGGAAGAGAUUCCACUCGCCAGCCAUAUCACACUCAUCACCCAUCUGUUUCAUGCGUUUCACUUCUUCUUCAGGUGAAAUGUCACCACCUGGGUCAGCACCAAAAUGGUCAGAGUGCACAGAGCUGUGACGGUGAGCUCAGCAGAGUAAGAAGGGAAGCCUAACCUGGUCCCUAGUAUUGCUGAGCAGUGACCCUGGCACUGCCUUGUGCCUAACCCAGGUGCUGCCUCCUCAGGAGCUCAGGAAGCACUUUCACCGAACGGAUGUGCAACUCGUGAUUUUGCUAACCACGGACGACAAUGCUUCAUGGCUCUUAGGACAAACUCCUUUUGCCAAAGCUGUUUAGCAGCAGGGACGUAUGGGCAGAGUUAUUGCUGUGGCAUCAACUGCGGUACUACACUCAAAUCAUUAACCCUUCUCGGAUGGGUCAAAUGGAUGAAAAUAAACAAAUAGGAAACAUCAGCCAUAUUAAGAAGUGAGAAACAAUGUCAGUGGAAAUGUUUUCAAAUGCUAACCUGAAGAUCGCCCUGUGCUUUUGUGUGUUUUUAAAGUAAUUCUUUAUUUUUUAUUUUUUUAUUUUUUAUUCCAGGAGGGGAAAGUAAUAUUUCUUCUCAAAGGAAAACCUUGGCAGAGGAUAAGCCUGGGAAGUAGCACACCCAUGGAAAACACAACCCACAGUGUGAGGAUAGUCUAAGUAGGCUCCUGUUCUGAAAGACGUCGCCCGGAGAGCAAUUCUUAGGAUCAGACACGUGCACAAUACCCCCGCCUCCCCACCUGCCACUCUCUGUCCAGUUGUGACACAUAACUUGUAAAUGACAAAUGGGCUCUUCUCUCUAGAACAAACAUGGAUGUGGUGUCUCCUAGUCACGGAGCAACAAUCCCCUGUAGGUCUUCCUCCAUACUCAACACAACUUUAGUCAGUCAAUCUACCCACACAUUGUCAGAGAAAAGACUCUCGGCUUGCAUUCCCACCUUCCUUUAAAAGCCAAACCAUUCAGGGACUGUUACCCGCCCCCCUUCCACCCCCACAAUGUACAUAAGCAUCACAUAUGUUCUUUCUACAAAUUGGUAUACAGGUGCCAUUUAAUCAGUUCAAAUUUGGAAGCUACAUCUUCAAGGGUUCAAGAGAGCUCGCUCCUCCCCCCCCCCCCACGUCUCCCCCCUUUACAUGUUUUCUUAUAAGACAUACAGCUUAAUCAAUUAACAAACUAAACAGCUUAUAUACU